rnacentral:lncRNA from 1 species
AUGACCACAAUGGAUUCCAGGAUCAAGAGUCUUCAGGAGGUCUGGGACGAACGGUCUGUGAGGAAGAGAGCGAGAGAUGGUCAUGUGAUCAUCUGUGAUGAUGAUCUGACUUUGACGUCUCACUUACUGCGAAUGUGUUGUAGAGGUCAGAGGUCGUGGACUGGAGCUCAAGAGCUGUGUAUGUGUCUUCACUGGGAUCAGAGAUCUACAGAGACAGAGAAAGAACAUAGGAGCACGUGAUAUAAGUAAAAAUGUAAAGCACAAUAUUAAAUAUAGGAUUUUUUGGGGGGUAAAAAUGUACAGACUGAUACACAUCAAUAAAUCCUGAGCUCAUCAGGCUUUUAAAGCUGCAGUAGGGAACUUUUGUAAAAAUAUAUUUUUUACAUAUUUAUUAAAACUGUCAUUAUGUCCUGACAGUAGAAUAUGAGACAGAUAAUCUGUGAAAAAAUCAAGCUCCUCUGGCUCCUCCCAGUGCUCCUGUUGCCAUUUGCAGAAAGUCAUCCGCUCCCGGUAAAAAAUGGUUUAUGUUUGUUUUGUGUUCAGGUUUUGAGAACGGUUCAACAAGUUUAAACAAACAUUUACAUUUAAAUAAGUGUUUUUAUAUUUUUAUUUCUUAAAUCAUCUGUCACAUCACCUGAGGACGCAGCAGAUAGUUUCAGAAAUCACUAUCAAAUACGAGAGAAAUAUGAGUUUGUAAAGGGUUUUUUUGCUGGAUUCUGUUGAUAAAAGACUUUUACUUUGUAAUCAUUCUGUACAUUUACAGUCUGAAACAGACAACAGCUGAUCGAUUGAUUUUCUGCUUCUGUAAAGUUGUGUUUGAAUGUUUUAUCUGUUUCACUCCGUUAUCUUCAGUUUUAACACGCCUUUGUUUCCUGUUAAAAUCACAUUAACAACAUAUAGACGACAGCAUUAAAUAGAAAGUAUAAAUGUUUAAAGAUUUCUAAUAAUCACAUACAGCUGAUGCAUUUCCUUCUGUUACACCAAAUGAACUUAUAUAAUAUAAAAGUGCAUUUAUGAAGUCAAUGUAGUUUAUAAUUGAACACACAUUAUAAACCAUAUGAUGAUGAUGAUGAUGAUGAUGAAUAAUCCUCCAGAUAUCGCUGUGAUCACAAUCACAUUCCUAUCAGCACCAGGUUGAACUGAAAGAUGAAGAUCAAGAUAAUUAACAAACUGAUGAAUGAUGUGAAGAUACAGGAGUGUGUUAAUAAAAGCUUCACCAGUGACAGUAACAGCGUCUGAUCUCUGAGAUCCAAGUUUCUAAAUUGCCUUAUAGCAUGAUUUUCCACAGCCCCGACCUCUCGCAGUAUGCUAUCUGAACCAAUCAGAAUGCAGCGCGCCUAAAUGUAGUGUGACAAGAGCCACACUUAAGCUGAUUAAAUCUGUACUCACAGGAGACAGUGAGCUGAGCAGCAGGAGAGAUGUACGUGUGUCCAUGUAGAGCACAGCUGUAUCUGCCUGCAUCCUCUCUUCUGACUGACUG